rnacentral:rRNA from 1 species
GUGGGGAAUAUUGGACAAUGGGGGGAACCCUGAUCCAGCCAUGCGGCGUGUGUGAAGAAGGCCUUUUGGUUGUAAAGCACUUUAAGCGAGGAGGAGGCUACCGAGAUUAAUACUCUUGGAUAGUGGACGUUACUCGCAGAAUAAGCACCGGCUAACUCUGUGCCAGCAGCCGCGGUAAUACAGAGGGUGCAAGCGUUAAUCGGAUUUACUGGGCGUAACGCGCGCGUAGGUGGCCAAUUAAGUCAAAUGUGAAAACGCCGAGCUUAACUUGGGAAUUGCAUUCGAUACUGGUUGGCUAGAGUAUGGGAGAGGAUGGUAGAAUUCCAGGUGUAGCGGUGAAAUGCGUAGAGAUCUGGAGGAAUACCGAUGGCGAAGGCAGCCAUCUGGCCUAAUACUGACACUGAGGUGCGAAAGCAUGGGGAGCAAACAGGAUUAGAAACCCGGGUAGUCC